rnacentral:lncRNA from 1 species
GUCUGCGUGAAUCUGUGUCCUCGUGCAUCUGCGCUCUAUAUUCAGCAAGGAAAUUGUACUUUGAUGCACUUUCUCACACUCUUUUGAAUACUUUUAUUUUCUUCUCAUAAACUAUUCUAUCUAAAGAAAAUGAAAGAUAACUUUCUUAAUAAAAAAAAACCCCAUGAAUGUUUGGUUGUCAUUGGUUUCUGUCUGCAAUAUUUGCUUUCCGUUUAUUCCUUACAUUUUGUCAUCUUUAGUGUAAACAAUAUUUUAUUCAGAAACAGAUAAAUAAAUACGUCAUCUUUAGUGUAAACAAUAUUUUAUUCAGAAACAGAUAAAUAAAUACGUCAUCUUUGAGUCAUUUAUAGCUAACUAUACGGUAUGGGUUUUACUUGCUGUGGUAGCUAGGACGUUCGGUGACUUGUAAUUGUUCACAUCUUUGUCCUUAAUGGAUAAUUAUUUCGUGCUGUAUACAUACCAAAUCCCCCUAUUUGUAUCAUAUAACAUCUACAAGUUGACGAAAUGUUCGCGAAAGAGUGUAUUCCAUAACGUUAUUAUUUAGGAUACUGACAAAAACAAAGCAAAAAGGGUCAAAGCUUCUUAUACCCUCUGUACGUAGGGUAAAACAGAUUAUUUUUUAAAUUACUGAGGUCUAAUUCUUACAUCAACUGAAUUUUGGGGAUAGAUUUACGUGUUUUUUUUUUAUUUAAGAAUACAGUUUGUAUUAUAAGAUAUUUAUGGGUUUGUUUUCUCUUUUUAUCUUUUAGUGUGUCCUGAGAUUUAACUAAGAAGGUGAAUUUCUC